AAGAAGCGCGCUCCUGUUAGUGUAACGUAGGUUUCUUUCUCGGUUGAUGGAUGGUAUAAAUGCCUAUAUCGCUUUGUAAUGUUAUUGUCAUGUUGAUGCUAUUGCUAUAUUAAAGAAUAUGAAAAGUGGCUCUUAGUCCCAUUCUUGAUGAUUGUCUUUCUCGUACUGUGUAAACGAACUUCAAGUAGGAAUUGUGUACUCAACAGGAAGCGUCGCAGCCUAGGUUUGGUUGGGGCCACCUCCGAUGUCGAUCUGCAGUAAUUGUUUUCUUCUAAAGUGGUUUUCCGAGGUAGGUUCUACCUAGAGCGAUUUGCCAGCAUCUUUCUAGGAUAUAGUUUACCUGUAUAAUGCAAAUGUCUCUUUCUAGGAUAUAGUGUUUACCUGUAUAAUGCAAAUGUCCAACACUUAGGUGCUUUAUAAGAUCAUCCUAUAUGAAAGAUGUAUUAUAUGUGUGGAUAAUGAAUGACUUGCCUGGUAUGCAAUCUGAACGUCCACAGAGUCAAAAAGGUCAGACCUAAUAAUCGAAAUGAGCUUAGCACAAUACGAUAUGGGAUAGAAACCUAAUCCUAGAAAACCCAUCACUGAACAAUCAUAGGAAUAGAAGAAAUAGGUUAAGACCAAGUGAAAGAACUCUCUAUGAGUUGGGCUACAUAAAAGAUCCUAUUCGCAAAUGGAUGUAGCUUAACCAAAUUGACCCAUAUCAACAACAAACGCUGGCAUACCCUUAUACUUCAGAGGUUGUUCCAGAAUCAAAACCUACAGGGCCUUCUCUGGGAUGAACUCGAAAAACCAGAAAGAAACAAAAGGGAGGAGUGGGAGCGCAAUCUCAUGACCUCGAGACAGUUUCGCGCCACAGAGCGGACCCUUUCAGAGUUCUCACACAGGGAAUGAUCAAAGAGAGACCACCUCGUGAGGACUAGAAAGAAUCCGGUGCACGAGCCAGAGGACGUGAGCCGCAGAUAUACUAACUUCUAGUGGAACGGGUUUGGUGGGGGAUCCUAAAUUCCUUGCUCGUAAACAGGCCUCCAUUGCAAAUGAGAACGAACUCUCGGGGUUCUGGAUGGAAUUUCCAAAUCCGAUCAAACGACUAUUUAUACCCGACGGAGGGUUCAUGUAGGUAGGUGUAGGCCAGACCGCUUGGUUCGAGGACCCGUUGGUCAAAGGGGAUUCCGGGAAGGAGCCGUAUGACGCGAUAGUUUCUACUCUUUAACUCUGGGCUGGGAGCGAGACCCUAAAAGAAGUUCAAUAAGCUAUGAGAAAAUAAGUUCAAUAAGCUAUUAAUAGUUUGAAAGGAAAGAUGGAAAGAGGGGAAUAGCUAGUUUGAAAGGAAAGAUGGAAAGAGGGGAAUAGCACGUAAUCAAAGGGAUAAUCGGAUAUAUGCUUCGUAAUCAAAGGGAUAAUCGGAUAUAUGCUUCGUAAUCAAAGGGAUAAUCGGAUAUAUGCUUCCCGAAGUUUCGCGCAUUUCUUAUGGUGGUAAAGUGAGACCACAUAAGAUAAGGAGCUCUUCCUCAUUCAGUCAGAUAUGGUGGGUUUUACCCUUUCUCUUUUUGUUUGAAUCUUCAUAUAGAAUUAAGGAACAACCCUUCCUUCCUCCCUGAAUUCAUUGAGUUGGAGGAAAGGAAUACACUUGAGGCCCGCCCGUUAUGCAUUGCAUGAAAGAACUGUAACUCACAUCGGUGAGGGCUGACUGCCCAGAUCCUGGUAGUACUGCUUUAGCAAAGCGAACGGUAGGUCGGACCAUUCUUCUGGAGCAAACCUUGCCUUUACAUAGCGGUGCCCUUUCGUUGUAGGCAAGACCCGACUUGCCCAUCAUCCAAUCCAUAACAAAUAGGGUGAAAGCCUUACUACUCAACACUCGAUUGAAAACCACCAUUACCACUAGAUUGAAAACCACCAUUACGUCGAAUCGGAAAAGGUUUGGAAUAGGGCUGAAGGUCAGUUCGGUGGUAAGAUCAGAAGGGUAGAUUCACGGGUGACUUCGGAGGGUGGGGAAGGAAAAGCUGGUGCUAAGCCGCCCUCACGUAAUGCCGCGCACAAGGAAGGGUUACAAGUUGGAUAUUAAUUCCUCCCCUUUCGACGAAGGGUUUUGAUAUGGUCUAUCGCCAAAAGCGGAAGUCCAAUCAGAAGCCGCAAGCAAAUGCCGUUCGUAGCUCGAGCCAGUUUCGUUUUCCAACAAAGUUCCAGUUCGCCAAGGAGUGUGAAGGCACAAAAAGCCGAAUCAUAAAGUCAGCAGCACCACCUACUACCGUCGAGUCGACCAAAAAGCCUUAGGCGCCAGGACUUUUCUUUCUCAAAUAAAUACGAGCAACUAUUUUAGUAAACCAGGGUCUAGGAUUUUCUCUGGAAAAGGUAAGAGGUCAACUUAGAGCAAAGCAAGCGAGCUUGCGAAGCAACCGAGGCAAGAGCGUGAAGCAGCUUUUCCCGGUUCUCUUGAAACAAAAGAUCUUUAUUCCUCAGCAUCAGGCGAUGUUUCAGUAGAAUCUGCAUCCAAACCAGAAUGGGACUACUCAGAAAGAAGGAAAAUGCACUUUUCCAUAAGAACCCGACAAGUCGAAUACAUAUCAUAAGAAUCGAGUCCUACGCCUCUUUGCCCUACUAUGAACUAGGAUCAGAAAAGGUUGGCUCAUAAUCGAAACUAAAAGACACCUGAAAAGCACACUUAGCGCGGUUCAUCAGGCAGAGGCUCCUUACUUUAUCGCCCACUACCCAGCUUAAACAUAUCCUAAUUAGGUUAGGAACUGAUUGAUCUUAACGAAAAAAGUGUGGCGUUAAAUGCUUUUUGAACCUCCAUGGAGUCAGUUUGUCGCUUCUUUCAGGAAUACACUGAAAAGUGAGCUCGUGUUGAGGUUAACUAUAUCAAUGUUGGGGGGUCAUUAUUCAGUAUGAGCGUAUAUUUCUUUAAGCAGUAUGAGCGUAUAUUUCUUGAAGCUUCUGGGGAAUAGGUUGCUUUCAGCAACAGGAAGUUAUGAAGUGUGUUCAGACUCACUUUACACAAAAAAGGGAACCCUAGUUCGAAAUAUGAAACAAGUUGGUUUGCAACAGGAGAGUCGGCGAAGAGAUCAACAGUCUUCCUUCAGUAGAAAGCCCCUAUCCAAGGUCAGGUGUAGUGUCUUCGCCCACCUUUACAUGUGCGAUUCUUCGCUCGCAGCGUUACGAACUAUCAAAAAGCUAUAAAUCGAACUCACUCUAGGAAUUCCCAAGCGUUAGCGAAGAAAGAAGCCUACUUUAAGAAGGCUGCCAAGAGGAGUCGAGCAAGUGGUUAAGUAUAUGGUAUACCUUGCCAUCGUCAGUGAUGGAGACACAUUGUAGACUCAUGACGGUUGGUUAACUGGAAGAUUCUUUACAUCCGUCUGAAAACUGUUAUUGGAUCAGGUGGGUCCUGCACUUCUCCACAAGUCUUCAUAGCAGCCUAAGGAAAUCUAAGCAAAGGAUCAAUGCUUGAGGCUGAGGCACGUUUAUUAGGAAGGAGGGAUAAAGAUUUGGAUGCCUCAGUGGAUUCAGAUCAUGGAUGACGCAUAUUCUCGUAUGCCUAUUUUGUGGAUUACGAUGCAGAGAAGAGAGAUCGAUCGCACUUCUGAGAAUUCGAAGAUUCUUUAUCAGUAAUUGGUUAACAAAUCAUUUCCUUUCGCUGCUGUUCGUUGGUUCAUAGGUCCCAGGGAAGAGAAAUUGAUGAAUUGGAGUAAGCUGGAUGGCAUUCACCUACCGUGGAGUAUGAGGGACUAGAAGAGAGAGACCUAGGUUUGGGAGACGAAGAGAGGGAGUGCUUUUCACUUCCAAAAGAUUGAUUGGCUCGGCCAGAGAAGAUGGAUAUUGGAUCACUCGUUCCCUCCCUUUGAUGGCAGCUAUCGGCUUAGUAGGUGUAGCCGGGAUUGCUUUUGACAUUGCCAGCAGCAGUUGGAUCGAAGGGGGAGAGGCCUUUCUUUUAAGAAGCACGAGUGCGCAAUAUCGGCUAUUUGGCUCAGUCAGCUUCAAAGCCGCCCGCAAGGUUCAAUCAACUCAAUGAAUCAGAUGAAAACGGACCUCCUACCCCUGUAGGGAGAAAUACUAGAAAGUCGACGUUCCUCAGGACUUGGCCGUUAUUAAAGUAUCAAGAAGAAGCACGGUAUCAAGGAACACAGUCGAAUAAUCAGAAUAAUCAGAGCACAAGUUCUAAAUAAUACGAAGGAGCCCCUGCUGCUGCAGAAUGACCUGUUCGACUGCCCUGCAAUAAAGCGCUAUUACUAGAGACCGUAGUUGCUUUCCUACCGCCCUGAAUACCUUACUCCGGGCCAAGCAGCCCUUUAGCACUACUUAACUACGUAGCUUGGCGAGCUCUGACUGAGAUUCAACCACUCCGGAUUCUUAUGAGAUUGUUUCUUGAUUGGCAAGAAUCCCCAAGGAAAUAGGCCUCCCUGUCCUGUGGAAGAGUCACAUCUGAGUCCACGCAAUUGAAUUAGUGAGUCAUUAAUGGUUUUGAUUACUUCACUACGCCAAUUUAGGGGUAUGGUUGCAAACUCGAUAGCCGAUAAUACUCCUUUUUCCUGCUGCUCCCCUAUUCACUGUCUUGGGUUGAAGUGUGCAAUAAAGCGUAGGAGCUCAUCUUUCCUUUCAUACGGAAUCCUUUUGGCAACGUAUAUUUGUGCUACCUGUUUUUGGAGGUGGUUAAUAAGCAUCGGUCUCCUUCCUGUAAGAGCUUAUCAAAAUGGCUUUCAAUGCUACUCUCUCUGUCUUUAGUUUUGGUUGGAGCUGUAAACAGGAAAAAGUAUCUGUGCGGUUUCCUCAUUAUACAUUAUCUUUAUGUUUUGAGCGUUCUCCCAAGGAAUACUUUUCUGCUGUAGUCUUCUUAUAAUGCAUCUGUAUAAGGUAGCAACAACCCUUUCUUAAACCAAGUUCUUUAUUUUGUUUACAAACCAGAAUAUACAAAAACCAUCUAGGAAGUUGACUAAAUGCCUAAUACUUUCAGGGGUGGAAUUGGUGAUGGCAAUAACAGGUACAUUUAGAUUCUUGUGAAAACAUCUUCCAUACUGAACCUACAAUCUUUCUGCCCAUCAAGUAUUUGGAGUAUAGAGCUGUGUGAGGCAGCCAUAGCAGCUUUAUUGUUUCCCCAUCCUGGCAUGCUAUCCUCCGGAAAAUGAAAUGAAUCCAAAACCCAAAGAAAUCAUAAUAGUAGUGUGCUCCUUGGAAAUCACGGAAUCUAGCACAUGGUGAAUAGAUGUUGAGAACUGAGCUAAGCAUAUGCUACAUUUAGGUUUUUUUCGUACUGGGUUUUCCAUAGAAUAGUAGUUCCUUAGUAUUCAAUGGCCUAUACAAGAUUAGGUUUCAUGUGAUCCCAUCUAAAAGUCAUUAUUUUUCCUUUCACUCGUCAAAGGAAUAUUCUUGUUAGGGUAUCCUUUUUGGAUUAAGUACUCUUUUGACCUAUCUUUCAAGCUAUUUUGCCUCAUCUUGAUGCUUAUAGUCUCUUCGAAGAUAGCUUUUAGAGCGUUAAAGUGCCUAAUGAGGUGAGCUUGUAAUUAAGGAUCAUCAUAUACUUGUUGCUCCCACUCAUCUAGGUUUUGGAUCUUAUGCAAGACAUCCACUUUCCAUUGGGGGGCUGGCUCUUUUUAUGCUGUGCUUGUGCUUUAGCGGUUUCCUGAAUUUGUUGAAGAGAGUGUUUCCCCAAAACUAUGGGCUGUUGAUCCUCUUUUAGUGUGUACCUGCAUACGGAGGCCCACGCUCUAUAAAAGGAGACAUGAAAUUGUGCCCCAAAAUGAUUAAGUCUCAGGUAAAGCCUUUCUUAGUAUGGAAGGAGUGCUGUUUUUUGUGCUCUUUCUUCCACUAAGAUUCCAACAUGGAAAUUAGGCCCUUGUUCGCCGAGUAGCAACAAUGAUGGUAGUACAUUUCAUUACUUUGAGAAUCCUAAUCCUAAUUGAAUCCUUAUCGAUUUGCUAUCUUUCUCUAGUCUUAUUCGCCCUACUUAAGGUGAGCAGAAGAUAUUUCCGGAGAUUUGUAUUGAUCCUAACACUGGGUUUCGUACUAGAAACUACUAUGAGAGAGAGAAAUGAAGCAUAAGAGGAAAUCAACACACUGUCACACUCGGGAAGAUCCUAUCCCACAGGGGAAAGAAACUACCUAAAAUAACUAGGAGAGGAAAACCGGAGGCAAACAAAACUCUGAACCGAGGGAACAACUACAACAAAAGGAACUAACUCAAAGAACAACUAAGUAUAUGCUGAAAAUGCAUUUAUUGAACGGGGAAGAAAAGUAGAUAAUAAGAAAGAGAAUCAACAGCCUAUAUUCCCGCUUCGCUUACUGCUGACUUUGGAAAAAGUGCUAUUCCCACGCUAAACGCUGACCCCAACACCGAGGAGUGGGUAUUCGCAUUCGGCUUCUGUAUCCGCAUAAGAUGAAACUCUCACUUCGAUUUCUGAACCAAGAUUAUGGUCCUUCCUUUUCACCCAAAAGAGAUUAUUGACGCCAACACCUAGAUACCAAACUUGAUACGGAACUUAUCAUUCGAGAGUCGACUUCCCGCGACAGGUUUGAUUCUGCCUCGACCUUUACUAGAGCUCUACUUUCUGGUAUUGCUGCUUACUUGCAAACUGGCAAUUCUCCAGCAUACUUUCCAACUCCCCUUUCUGACCCAACAAGAAAUUCAUUGAAUCUUUCGUAUCGAGCACUGCGUGGUAUAGAUCUUUGUGAAACCAUACCUUCCCUGCAUUCUUCAACAGAAACUUAUGUACAGAGUCGAGCACCGAGUCAACGUCCUGAACAGAAUCAUAAGUGUGUUUAAGUUGAAAUAGAGGAAUUUGUCAGGUAUUAUAGAAUAGGGUAACUAACCAAGUACAGUACGUGCUCUUCACUUAUUUAAGAAUCGAGUAUGAGGAGUUGAAACAUAAUCAUUAGCCCGAGGGGUCUCAUAGAUUGGAUUGGGGUAUAUCGAAUCAAUCUAUUAGGGGCAGGGACAGAAAGAGACUCGUCUGAAAGAGUAGCAAACAGCGAAAUCCCCUUAAGUAGCUUGGCCUCUCUUCUUUAUGUCUGCUGCAAGCGAUUCCACUUCUUUCCUCUCAAUACCCGAACAAAGCACUCGUUUUCAUCACUCUUAUCGGCACUAUUAACUGCAUGCAGCUCAUCCAACUCUGUAAACAAAUACUUUUAUUGCUCCCGAGCACAUAGCAAGUAGUAGUCCUGUGCAAGUUAGUAAGGGAAGCUUAGUCGAUAUCACCAAGCCGGUAUCACAAAAGCAAAUAGAUUAGUUACAAUCGGGGUUUCAUCCAUUACAGGCUCGAGUGUCGGUGCCCUAGCUAUAAGUCUACUCGAUCAGAUGCAAGCGGGAAGGAAAGAAAGACAGACUUAUGUAAACCACUCCACAAAGUCGAUUUCACUGCCCUACCCGAGCAAGUAAGUAAACAACACUACCCGCUUCGUCACCAACAACAAGAUCUUUUCCAAUAAGGGCUUUCCUAUGAUGCCAACUCUAUUAAUUAUACAGCCUUUGAUGCCCCUAGCCCUCUGAUCUUGUAUGGCUCCGAUACCGUAGUAAACAAUUAUGACUGGUUGUACCUGACCCGACGAGCAACUACUCCUCUUGAGCACCCUGCUACAAUACCACCGAGAAAGAGCCCUGCCCUACUGUGGUUGGUUGGAAGGAAGGAGCUGAAAGCCUUCUAUCUCUUAAUGCGCUCGAUCUUACCCGCGGAAUUCUUCUCUUGCUUCCUAGCCUGUUCCUACUAAGGAUUUGGAAACGACUUCUGAUCUUGUCGACGCUAACUUUCUUCUUUAAGUGAAGUGGAAUCUAUGUUUGUUGAGUCUGAUUGCUACCCGGGAAAACAUCUCUGUAAGUUUAGGGAGUUUGGCGAGGCGAUAGUCGCUACUGUAGGAGUGUUGUGAGGCCAAGCAGAUCGGAUUUGCGAGAGGGAGGAUAGAGAUUCGCCCCUUAUUGAAUCAGUAUUUCUUGCAAUAGUCGAGGCCCCAUCCCGAGUGGAAUCAGUAUUAGUUGACAGAGGAUGGGUUUAUUGAUCUGAAGCUGGAAGGAAAGAAAUCAAUCUGCAAAAAGGGUAUGGUUUCUUUGUUAUUAAGUUAAUGCGCUAGCAAGCCUUUCACUCCUGGCAUUGAUCCUGACCCGACUCACAGUUGACUUAGACAGCUUCCCUAUCUUUUGAAUCUUACUGGCUUGGCACUGCUUCCAUUCCUUGACUUCACAAGUCUAGGCCUCCAUAAUAAGUUUCGGGAAGCAAGGCUUUCAGCACCUUACUUUAACCACGGAAAAGAGGUGGGUACGGAGUGGCUCUUAGCCCAAGGUGUCGAGUUGGGGGUAGGGAGAGUGGAAUGAAGUUACUCGGGUAGGGAAAGAGACUUUACUGACUUUGGAAGCUAUAAGUACUUAAGUCUUGGAUCGUAUCGGGUAAAAGAAUCUUUAUAAAGAAGAAAAACAGUGUGACAAAAAAGAAUAGAGUGGACUGCACUCGAUAAGCAAAGGUCUUCCCCGGCUUCCUCUCUGGCUCUUGAAACUAGAAUGUUGGAUCCUAUCCCUGGGUUACUUUCAUCUUAUAUAGAAGCCGAAGCCUCAUCUGCUCUAAGGAAGGAUCACUAGAGAAAGAAAUCAAUAAAGAAAGAAAUCCAGUGCUCUUCUCUGGUAUUCCACUCCUAUUAUACCUAUUAAUACAAAGAAUAAGGGAUCUACUAAAGAGCUAAGGUCGACCACUACUCGGUUAAGGUAGUCAACCCAACAAGUAACACCGCACAACUACUUCAGAAUGGAAUGGAACCUUGAACGGAAGAAACAUAAGAAGAGGCUAAAGUAAGGUCUAGGCCGGCAAGGGAACCAGAAAGCUCUGUUCUCAAGUCAGCAUCAGCUGCGGGAGAAGAAUCAAGGGAAGCGUAGUUACUUGGCUACUUGUCGGCUUGGCUAAUUCACUUCCAGAAUAUAUAUUUGUUGGCUGCCCCUGUAGGGAAUCCUGUCUUUAUGGCUUACGGGAGUUCUGCUAACUGUAGUAUGUGCUACUUCCUUUCCCUAACCCAGUAUAGUACGAGUUACUUCCUUUAAGUAGUGAGUGACUGAACACUUGCAAAACACCUAUAGUCCAAAGAAAAACAAUGAAGAAAGGUAGGCAAGCGAUAAGGGUACGAUGUAGCGAGAUCCUCUUAUAGGAUAAGAUAAAGAUAAGAAAUAAUAGAAUAGGAGGGAAAUGAUACCAAUAGACAGAAUAGGAAGGAAGGAAGUAGACAGAAUAGGAAGGAAAUGAUACCUAUAGUUGAAAGCCAGUGCUAGGAUCAACAGUAUUAAAGAAGGGUAUAGCUUGGAAGCCUGAGAGUGUCAAGGGGACAAGCAACGUAGUGAGUUGCGCUAAAGGGCUGCUCUUCAGUAACUAAUUCCCUAUAAACCGGACUUGGUCAUAACUCGUAAUAACUACAUAUUUGUUGCUGAUGUAGUAGUAGCUUGUUGGAUUCAAGUAUCGUUCGGGCAAGACUCAGUGGUGUAAGAGAGUUCCGUAAGCCGUGUAGCAUAAGCGGACUUCUUCGGGCAGUCUUCCCAUACGCGCUCAUCAAUAAGAAAUAGAGUAUUAGUUGAGUCAGCAGUAUCAGUAGUAUAGUGAGUUUUGGAAGUGGGAAGUCGACUCGAUCAGAAUUUCAAGAAAGAGAAUAAGCUUUAUCUGAAGCCGAAGAUGGAUUAGAUGCAGCUGCAAGUGAAGAAAUAGGCAGAGGCGUAGGCAUCCUUUCGUUAAUAAACAGGAAUGGAAUAUCUUUCUUGUCUUGAAUAUUAAGUCGUCAACUAGAACAGCUUCUGAAACUAGAACAGCUUCUGAAGAACAGGAACUCGCCGAGCUACAGCAUCGACACUAAAACCGCUAACAGGAAUGGAAAUUGACCUAGAAACGGAGAUUGACUUUAUGCAACAACUUUACCGUUAGCCUUGUAAACCUUGGGGGGACAGUAAUCUUUCUCUGACUCUUAUUACCACUACGUAGGUCUAUACCCUAUAGCAUUUGCAUCUUUUACUUGCGCAAGAGACUUUUGAUACCACACAACUUAUUCUCUUACCGCUGAACCUCUUUCUCCACGACCGACGUAAAAACGGGUUCCCCCUAUUUGUAGAUACAAGUGCUUUCAAAUUCCAUAAAGAUAUUACGAGGCAGUGGGCUCUUUAAUUCCUCUCUUUCUUAUAUGUAUAUGAGACCUGCUUCAUAGAUCCUAGAACUGUAAUUCGUAUGGAAUCUGGAACUCGACUUGAGGAACCGACAACCCUGUAGUAUAAGUUAGCACCGAACCUUGACUUUGCUACAACAAAUAGGAGUGGAACAGAAAGAGUACACGCAACUGGAUCGGAUACAGAUUAACUUCCUGCGCGUACUUUCCUCUGCAACUUACUAUAGGGCUGUUUCUGGUUUCUCUUUUGAGUUUAGCUUAGCUGUUUUGAAAGUGUUAGUGAAUCCAGAGUUUCAUCCCGAGUUUACUGUGGAAGAAAUAGAAUAAUUCGGCAGGUCUGAUAGAGCUUAGUCACACUUAUGUGCCCUUUCACUGAAGUCUUUUAUACUAGACUCUGAUCCUAAGGUAUGAUCUAGACCCGAUCCAGCAGAUGAUCUUGAAACUGAGUCUGGACCUGGCAAUACUGUUCGAAUGCCUACAGGUCUUCUCUCUCUUGCACCGAGGCAAACUGCACUGGAAUCCUUCUUUCGAGCUGCGAGUAAAACAACCAAGCAUAUACUACAGUAGCAAAUGAACUCCGUAGUAUAAGAAGUCAUCAUCUACUAAUAGGAAUUCCACCGGAAAGCAUGAGACUAAGCAUAGGAAGAAGGGUAGUUGGAAUAAUAACUAAGGACAGGAAGAAGGGUGGUAGGAAUAAUAAUAGUAAGUCAGGAUAUUACUAAUAAGAUAAUAAUGGGAAGCCAGGGUAUGAACAAAGAAACUCGAAACAAAGAAUACAGAAACAGCCAAGCAGACAAUCAACUACUUUUCUCUACCUUCAGCCGACUCAGCCUCUGUCCUUAAUGUAAGGGCUGCCUCUCAUUUGUAAACUAAUACUGUUCAUUCGGCUCCCGAGCACAUAGCAAGUAAGAAAUAUAUUCUAACAGGAAUUAAUAGGGAAUGAAUAAGAAAUACUUGAUAACCGCCAGACUUAGCAAUAAACAAGUUAUAAACAAGUUAUAAACGAGUCCCUUCUUUGGUAGUCCUAGUGUUUGCCUGUAUUCGUUGUAUUCGUUGCUUGUCUACUUUCUUUUGACUUUCUUUGCCUUUGCCUAAAAAGUAGUUGCCUGUUCCAGCUCUUGCAGAUGAUCCUAAUCCGUAUCCUGAUCCAGGUGCUCCAGAGAUCCAAUUGAAUUCUGAAUUUCCACUUGACAAUUAUAGGCGAGGUCGGCGAAAGACAAACGUGGAGGUAAGGCAAGCUGACAAGUAUAUACUAGACAAGAGCGAGCUACAGGGUUGGCUAAGAGCUACCAAGCUACUCAAUUUCCCACUCCAGUUACUGUUCUUAUUGAAGUUGCAAGUCCUGUUAAAUGCCCGCUCUGGUAUUCUGACUUUUGAGUGGAAGUAUCAAGAUGGGUUAGUACUUACUUGGUCCGGAGCAUUAAGUUGAAGGUCAAGGAAGAAUCAAUUCCAUGCUUUGAAGCGGGAAAGAGAGAAUAGUUGGAAGUUGCCAGAGCUCGAGUNNNNNNNNNNNNNNNNNNNNCGGGGUGAACACUUAUUAUAGGUGUCGGGUUUCCAAGGGAAGCAGCAUACUUAUUAAUAAUAGGGCAGAAGGAGACAGCGCUAAUAGAGCUACACAGAAAGCAGGAUGGCUUGAACCCCCGCUUUCGGGGAUAUAUAUAUAUGGAUUCUUUCUUUAUAUGGUCAAAGGUGACCCUACCCUCAUCAACGAUCUGAAGGUAAGUAGCUGAAAGAUGAGCAAUUGGACUCAAGGGUGUGCAAAGCCUGUUGCUCGAAAAGGGGAUACGCGCUUGGUAGACGAAGCCCCCAGCCGAGGGAGAAUUCUGUCUCCACUGCAUCUUGACUUCGGUGCCUAAACAACAAGAGCACGGAAGACAGCUUUGUCCACAACUAACGUUUGCGCGUUAGCGAGUUCUGUGUUGUGCGUUAGGGUGAAUGUAGUAUAUAACUUAGUAAUAUUCCCUCAAUAAGUUGUUCUAUACGUGUUUGAAUGAUUUUGUUCAAUUCCAUUCUUUUCUUCAUGAAAGUGUCGAGCAAUCUUCCCUUCUAUGAUGACAUUGUAGCCCAGAACCCGACGCCUAACAUCUCAUAAGGCGCACGCACCCUAUAUAGUGAUAGCAAUAGGUAGUGUUGUGUAAGAAAGGAGCUUCUUGGCUUACGAAUCCGUUUUCUAUACAUGAGGCAGACGUUAUCCAAUGAAUGUUCAAUCUUACAAUAGGUAGAAACCCUCCAUCCCUUCACCCGCUACUAUAAUGACUGAGCCCGCUACUAUAAUUACUGAGCCCUUAUGAGAUACUCUCUUAUUUACAUAUAAUGACUGAGCCCUUAUGAGAGGAGAGACUUCUCUUAUUGACAACCGAAUCAAUUCAUUGUAAGUUUCAUUGAGCCUUUUCUAUCUUACUUAUUGAAGAGGCCUAAACUACUCGUUGGAGGAGACCGUAAGAAAGGACUCUCGGACGGGAAGCGGAAGAUGUUUAUUACGAGCCUAUAAUUAUACGUUUGUAUUAUGCAUCUCUAUUCUUAUUAAUUGCAGUCUUUCAUCAUAUAGUAGAUAUCAGAGACCUAAUACGGAACUAAUGGACUUACCCUAAUCAAUCUGUAUUCUGAAUUCAUCAUAGAAUGAGCUCUUCCUGUCUUUCCUACUCAUAGGCGCUUGUCCUCCCAACUAAUUUAUGGGCCUUUACUCAACUGGAUACUAAUAAGAGAUGGCCAGAGAGGAAGAUUGCCAAGGCCGACUGCAAGAGCACGCAGAACUAAUAUCGAUUCUGGUCUUCUUAACUUCCGAGCCGAGGGAGCUAUCGGUUUGGCUUGCUUACGAUAGGGCUUAUUCUUUAUAGUAAGGAAGGGAGUUAGGAAAUAGGUUCGUUCUUUGACUGUUGAGUUGAAUCGCUAGUCCGCUGUUAAAGUCAAGUAUAAUCGGUACGAGUGUCAAUCCUAGGAGCAGUAGCUACGGAAUGAUAAACAGUCGUUUUCGAAUUAGAGAAAGGUUUGUAAGGCUUGGGUUGCUGGUUGAGUGCAUUAUUCUUGUAUUGAUAUUCCUUGUUUAGAGGUUAAGCCCUAUACUAUGGAUACAGAGUGCAAUUCCUACUUAUGAGUUAUCUUACUAGCAGAGAGAACCAGAGAAAGGGUGCAAGCAAAGAAGGACAGACUAACAGAUAGGCUAGUUCAGAUCCGAAUCAGUGUUUCAAUAAAGUAGGGAGCGGGAGGCUAACAAGUCACCCAGGCAAGUAAGGCAUGGAGCUUAGGUGAGUUUUCUUGUAUGGGGAGGUAGGCUCGGGACACUAUGGGCAAUAGCUUGUCUCUUGGGGAGCGUUAUAGGUCGGUUGUGCCAGUUUCAUAUGCCCUAGUCCAUUUCUUGUCAGCAGUUCGUUCGAUUGGGAUAUUGCUAGUAGUAAGACCAAUGGGCAGUAUUAUCAUACUCAUAAAAGGGUGUAAAACUCCUGCAGCAUAACAUUACCUUCACUGACUUACGCUUUAACUCACUACCGCGACACCAAGCAAAUCACUCAUUUAGAACAAAUACAUAUAUAUAUAUUGUUGUUUGUCUUAUUACAUACAGUUGUUGUUUAGUGUCUUGGUGGUUAAACAGCACUGACAUUUCACUCACUACCGACAAGCUCAACAGGAAUAAUAACUAAUACAUAUAUAUAUUAUGUGAGUUCCGUAUUAGAGUUGUAGUUGGAGCAGAAAACAACACUGACGCUUUAACUGCACUGACACCGAAAGCAAGGCAUGAAUAGAAGGCCAGCUACUAAUCCUAGGACAUAAGAGAAUAGGGCACUGGCAUAGGCAUCUAGAAUAGUCGUCAAUAUAAUAGUUGUAUUGGUUAGUGUUAGGUAGUGUUUUUACUAUACUUAAUGGACAAAUUGGAUAGCUCAAUUCUCUUCUUUCAGCUCGAGUCCUAUAAUUCGAAUAACCAAAUAAGGCAUUGCUUUCCUUCCUCCAAAGCUCAUGGGCGCCUAAUGCACUUUGACUUUAUACCCUAGCUUCUGAUGCUGACUCAUUGCUUGUUCUUGUUCCUCUUGUUCUUACACCGCUACUUGUUGAAUAAAAUAUGCACAUCAACUAAAAUCAGAAAGGGUAAGUUGACUCCUUGACUCCUUUGCGGGCUAUAGGAAGGGUAGCACAGUCUUGCUUGGUUGUAUUGGGAUAGACAUAACCUUUUCUCUUACAGCAGGAGCAUACCCAGCUAGUCAACGAUUAGCAGCUUCAAAUCUAACAACCGUGUGUGAGCACCCUCGAAAGAAAGAUCGAAUUGAACUCACUGCCUAACAAUAUAAAUGAGAAAAGAAUGAUACUUUUAUACAUGAGGUAACCUUACUUCUUUGCUUACUCUACUACUAGUUUGCUUGUAGCUCCGUUAGCUAGUGCCUAAGCGUAAGCGCCCAGCCCUUUUACUUGGCUUGAUCUUAGUAGUAGAGCUGUUAACUCCUUACUUCAAGUUGACAGUUCAAUUGAUCCGCGCGUCAAGAGAAAUAUUGCAUAAUUAUUGGACUUUUAGAAAUAUUGCAUAAUUAUUGGACUUUGAAGCAAGGUGAAUUGGAGAAUAGCCAGUUCUGUUCAAGUUUCAUCGUGAAGAGAAGAAGAUCAGACUGCCCUCACUCGACUUAGAGCUAGAAAUAAAGGACUUGGUAAUAACAACCCUGAACUGGCCAUUCUGUAGCUGACGACUUCACCGUUCAAUCCUCUCCUCGCUUUCCACUUCUCCUUUCUACUCUAACUACGGAUUCUACUGAUCUUGUUUCCUCACCUGAUCUUUAUUAUUCUUUUUCCUUGAACGAUACUUGAAUUGCAGCAUACAAGCGGUACUCUGACUUUGGAUACUGAACUGCUCCGGGGGGCUAAUCUACUUAUUGCCUUAAGCGCUGCUUAGGAACGUUGCUUGUUAGCUUGUUUAUUCCCUCUUGAAUGAAAUACUGAGGGUCGCCCUAGAAGUGAAAGUUGUAACCCAUCGUGGCCACUACUUAAGUACCAAACCUUUAAGCGAUGGGGCCAAGGUUAAGAUAGUCUGCCCUAUAAGUGGUGAGUGACUGAAGCCGAAGAAGAAUCCCCAUCUGCUGUAAGAGGUAUAAGGGAUAAUCAUUCUAUACCAAGUUAUCGAGUGGAGGUCUGGGAAUCUAAUAAUACCGGUACUUUUUCUAGUGCUUGUGUCUAUAAGUAAUAAAGUAACGUUUGAGCAAGGAUCUCUAUAGAUCCAUCGAAGGUGAAAGAGAAAACGGGCCUAAUAAAGCUUAGUCAAACCAUACAUUGGGCGAGUUUUCUACUAGAAAGGUGACUCUGCUAGCCAAACUAUACGGAUUAUAAGACCAAAUCAAUUUCUCUUUCUGGUGGGCGAAGGAAGACCUUACUUCCAGAGUGAAAGUCAAGUUCCUACAAAGGCAGAUUCAUUAGUUCGAUUUAUUAUGAUUAUUCCAGAAUGGUUGACCCUGUUGGGAGUGGACGAAUAGAUUUGUUGGGAGUGGACGAAUAGAUCCCUGCUUCGUAACUGUGUGAGCCCUGGGAUUACUAUCCUUUUGGACCUCCUAAAACUACGUCGUUAAGAGGAUGCUUCUACUUGAGUUAGCUUGUACCCUGAUUGAUGCGGUCUCGCCGGGCAUUGAAUUGGCACAAGUUACCCGUUAGAUCUACCAUCUCCUGCUUUUCAAGUGAAUUGAACCGUUAGGGGAAUGUUAGAUAGACGUGAAUUACUUAAGGCAGGAUCCGCCCUGAAAACAGAUGUUCCAGAAGAAACGACCCUUGAAAUAUGAAAUAAAGAUGCGGAGCGAUGAAUGACUUUCUGCAGCAAGAUGAGGAGCGGUAGGGUAUUUCCCUUUGGCUUUUGCUCUUCCUUUUCAUUGCUUUACCUAAAUAAGGUGAAGACGGGGUUGGGUUCUUGUCUAGGUUAUGAUCGCCGAAUCCGAUGCUCCAUGACGUUUUCGUUCAAGUCCAGUUAGAGGUAAGCUUCUGAAUGCCUUAGCAGCAAUAGGGUCAUUUUGAAUGCCUUAGCAGCAAUAGGGUAAGCUUCUGAAUGCCUUAGCAGCCGUAGCUCUGUCUUUAAAGGUAGUUUCCGUUUUAGAGCUAUGCUUUGUAAGGCCUAUGUUUUAGGGCACAGUGUUUUAAGUUAGCAAUAAUCGAAUUCGCUUUAAGGAGCCAGGGUUAGCGCCCCUGGGAAGUCCGGCCUAUAGACAGUAGAUAAGGGCUAAGAGCGGGUAAAGCGAGGGUCGAGGUCAGGAUCGGAAGAGCCAUACUCAAUUGUUAGGUCAGUAGCGGAAGGAUGAAAUGCGCGGGCAAGGCUAUGGGGGUGAACUCAGUGCCUUUCUUUCCGGUAGUGGUUAAAGGUCUUGUUAGCACUAGGUGUAUUAUGUAUUCCUGUGUGUUUUGAUCGGAAAUAGAUCAUGUAAUGCGCCUAAGAGAGCUUAUAAUGCAUUUAAAGCCUACACCUGAACACCUUAAGCCUAGAGCAGCGCACCAACAACUAAGAGAAUGAAAGUCCGGGUAAACGAGAAAUAAGACCUGUGCUUCAAUAUUAGUUGACCCUGGUCGACUCGAAACGAAAGAAGUUGUGGGUUCUGAAGCGCUAAGUAGAUUAGCCAUAGGAAGGUGAAGAAAUAGGUCUGUAUCCUCUCAAUCAGGCGAGAAAGCUGGGUGCCCCCAUCUUCUUUGACUUUUCCGGGCUAGAGAAGUUCGGCACUUUGAGUAUAAUUAUGGUAGUGUAGCAGGUGCAUUCCUUAAAUAUAGUGGUGUCAGUUCAAUCUAAUUCCGGGCUAAUGGGAGUUGUUGAAAUGACAGGUUGCGAGAUCUCCAUUCCAAAAGUGAUAGGCGGGUGAACGAAGGACGGAAUCAGGCUUUGAAGCGCUAAGGUACGAUUGAUAAUGUACUUAUUCCGCUUUUGCGUUAGGAUAGUUCGAAUCGAGUCACUCUGUUCAACUAAUCUUAUUGCCAAUCUUUGAACGAAGAAAUAGUCCGGAUUAUGUUAUGCAUUUGAACCUAACCUAUCCUAACCUAUUCUAAUGGACUUGCUCUUGAAAAACUCCCCUUAGCUGUAGUCUUGCGCCGGCAAACUCUCUUACGCCCGGCUUGGCUUCCCUUUUGCUUGAAAACAUAGUGAUUAACGGCUUACUCACAAACAAACUCUCUCACUAACUUGUGCUUGCUCUUGCGAAUUCCCUAACGCCGAUACGAAGACUGGAACUUUACCACUUGUUUGCGCUCUUCCUAAUACGGAGAUUAGAUUCUUUCCCGCCCUGCCCUACUGUUGUUACUUAUCUUGCAUUAACCUAGCACGAGAUACUCCACUUAUCUUGCAUUGACCUAGCAUGAGACAAAAAACAAGCUUCUUUCUGCGUUAACGAGAUACUUUACUUUAGCUUUAGACUAGACUUGGAGCGCAACUCGAGUUGUUGGGCCAGUGUUCAGAGUCAACCUUAAUAGAAUCUCUCUUGCAUAAUCUAGAAAAUGGUAAGCCUAAUACACUGCAUUGCUUUCUUUGCCUAGACUAUGAAAGUCACCAAACACUAGAGAAACAAACUUAUUAACUGCUUUUUGACUCUUGAAGAACGAAUUGAGUUGACCCCGGCCUUAAUAGUAAUUAGCUAAUGCACUUGGUAUAGAAAUGGAGAAAGAUAAAGCAUCUAUUGAAACAGCUUCUAAAUAGGAUGAAACUGAACAAGCAAUGGAAUCCGCAGAACAUACAAGGACGGGACUUCGAACAAAUAACUGCGAUAAGAAUUCAUUGAGUACAGGAGCCUUGCGUUCGGAUGCCUAUAUUCUUAAAGCACCUUAGUUGGGGUGCCAAUUCUUUCCUUUCGCCCUUCUGCUUACGUGAGUUAGUUUCAGUAAAAGGUUCACUCCUUUCUAUCAGAUCCGAGAUGGAUUCCUUUCGAAAGCCCUUGUACGUGUCGUGCCUUACCUUAGGAAUUGAGUUAGCUUGAGCGUUGUAAGUAAUAAUAAUAAGUGUCUCGUUUUGAGUUUAGAGUGAAGUUACUAAAUUCCAGAAUAAGUAUAUUCGAAAAGCAUAGAGUUUCUAGUGUUGUUACUAAAUUCCAUAAGUGGUGCAGCAGUGCACUCGCAAGCACUUUCCUUUCUUUGUAGCAUAGUCGACUCGGGUGAGCUUUGGAGGAAGGGAAGCAACCAAAUAAUCUCGAAACUUGUAAUCUAAACAAGCAAGGGCGCUAAGAGAGUGAAGUGCAAAGUAUACUCGAUCUGAAGCAACAGUACAGUAAUCUAUAUCCUGAGUAGGAAGAAAUAGGGAUUAGAAGCGGGAAAAUGAGUAAGAGAUAAGAAUAAGGGCGAGGUUAUAUAGAACUAAGUAGUAAAGAGGAGAGGGAUAGUUUNNNNNNNNNNNNNNNNNNNNNNNNNNNNNNNNNNNNNNNNNNNNNNNNNNNNNNNNNNNNNNNNNNNNNNNNNNNNNNNNNNNNNNNNACAGAGGGGUCUCAUAAGAAAGGUUGAGUAGUGGUAUAAUCAGAAAGGUUUCGUAGUGACUUUAGAGUGGAAUUCGCAGAUAUAUAAGUGGCACUAGCUUAAGGAGCUAUUGUAUGUUAUAACCGUCUGACUUUAGUCUUAUAGCUCAAGACGGCUUCUCGUGAUUGACUCUAACUUUCCCUGGGUUCUGCCUUAAAGUAUAGAGAGGGGGAAGGCCAUAAAGGCGAAGCAGCUCCAAAAUGGUGUAUGCUUUAGAGUCGUUCUUUUGAGCUCGCGAGUAUAGUAAGGAAGAAUGGAUCUUCCUGUACCCUCAAUAACAGUAAAGAAAAGAGGUCUGCAAGGUCAGCUGUGGAAUCAGUAAUAGUUAGUUGGCAGACAAGAUCUUACUUAGUUGACAGAGGAGUGGGGAGUCGACUUAACACCGUAAGAAUAGAGAAACAAAGAAGAAACAAAGAGAGAUUUGAGUUCCAUUGACUCAUUACUUGAAGAACGAAUUGAUGUAGCCGAACCCCACUGGACAAAGGCAGAGGAAACACAAGCACCCGAGCCCACAUCUAUUACAUCACACCCCUCCUAUUGAUAAAUAAGGAUCUCCUAUUGAGAAAUAAGGAUGGAAUUGACACCCCCACCCUAGUAACUUCCUUCAACUACUACCCUAUAGCCUAGUAACUUCAUUCAACCAGCAUACCCUACCUGCCAAGACACUAGUAACCAGACCACUACUGGAUAAGGCUUAAGAUCCAAACAAGAAACUCAGAAUAGAAUGGAAUUGGCACUGAUAAGAAUUAGACUAGUAAGUAGAAGAGACUAGCUCCUACUACUGAUUCCACUACUCUAACAGCUCACUUUGGCACUUAUUAUUCUCUUGAAACUCAUUCUACUAGUCGUUGCUUGGUCUAACUAUGUUGUUUGCCCAGGAGCUUCAGAUCGAAUGGAUUCUGACCUUUCUACUCUUCCUUGGUACUAUUCCGCAACACUCGCACCGACGUCAAGCACCGCUACUGAGUCUUGCUCCGGCAAACUCAACAGAAGAAGCAUAUCUCUCAACUUUCCAUUAGGGUGGAAUCCGGCUAGAAUCCCAGUUUUCUUCUUUCCUAACUUGUAGCUGAGGUAGCUAAGUAUACUAAUGCGUGGAAUUGGUAAUAGUCAAAAGUCGAGGAAGAAGAAUCCGUGUUUGCUACUCUUGAAGCAGAGGUUAAGUCGAACCCACUAAGUAGGUCAAACUGACUGGUUAUAGGCUAUUGUAAAUUCAAUCUUCUAAUGAGAAAGAUCUAAUUUGAUAGGGAAUGUUCUUAUUGGAAAACAGCUCCGGCCAAACAACAACUCACUCUCCGGGCCGAGCAACUAUUCUUGAAGGAGAUAGUUUACUUCAAACUUUAGGAAUUGCCGGAGGAGAGGCUGACGCGCAACUGACGUAGUUGCUUGUCCUGAUGAGAACAAAGAGCUGUUGAAAACAUUCCAUUGAAACAAGGGGUUAAAAGACAGAUGAAACUCUCACAAGAAAAUGUAGUCUUUAUUUAGAAAAACGAUCUUUUCAUUGCUGCUGACCCGGCCCGGUCUUGUAUAACUUAAUUGUUUGUGGUUUCCUACUGAAGUAGUUCCUUGUCGGUGUUCCAGCCUAAACCUAUCAAUCUGGUAUUGCAGUUCAAAAGUGAGCAUCAAGCGGGUAAUCCUAAAGUGUAGUUCAAGGGGAGUUUGGAAAUGGAAGUAGAGUGAAAGGGGAAGAAUCAAGGGAAGCUCCUAGGUUAGGUAGAGCAGGAGCAGUUGAGUAAGCUGGAUCAUCAGCCGUCCUUACAACCGCUAUACAUUUCUACGUGACUAGUUUGGGUUCAGGUGCAACUUACUAUUCUUUUCAACAAGUCGAGUGAUGUAGGAGAGUUCGGUGCUUUGCUGGAAAGCAGCUUAAGUAGGCAGUAGCUCCUUGUCGUAGGGGGCGUAGUACUCUUGCUCUAAGUCUACUAGAGAAGGAACUAGAUCAGUAUCAGUAUCCGGGGAGCAGGCCCAGACUCAGUAGCGUCAGCGUAAGGAGUGAGUGAUUCCUUAAGUCUUGUUUGUUUCUUUGUCUGCGGGAGAAGUUUCUUUGCUUUCCCUUUGCGCCCCCAGCUUAGCCUUGUUCCACUGAUUGUCCUGCUGUGGCUCAAAGUCGGUUAAGCGCUUAAUUAAGUAUCAAGUCAGCGGGGAGGAAAGAAGAUAGUAUGGAUGACGGGUCGGGUGCUUUUGUGUAGCAUUACAAUUUGAUUACUUCUGACUAUUUUAUUACUUAGAGAACAAAAAAGAAAGUGAAAGCGUUAUUGCCCUAACUUCUGAUGCACUAAGGUACUAAAGAAGGUACUACAUUAUUCCAAUAGAAUCAAUAGUGUAACCGGACUCUUGUGUAGCAGUUCAAAAGUGAGCAUAGGAAUGGGAGGUUCCUGUUCUUAGGAAGUAUCCAGUUGUUGAUAGAUGGAGGGGUAUUGUAUGUAUUUAGUAAUUACUAAGUUCCUAAGUUCGGUGAUUGGCUUAACCUUAACCGAGUAGAAUAGUUGUGGUACAAAGAAUGGAGUUGAGAGUGUCAUCCGCGUAAUAGCAAGUAAGUCUAAGUCACACACGCUAGAGUAGUCCAUUUUCCCUUGUGCGUUGAGUAAGCAGUAAUAGGUGAGCUUUGGAGGAAAGGAAGAAAGAGCUAGGUCUGAUAGAUCUUUGUAACCAAGGGCAGCAGUUCAGUAAGAAGGAGAGGCCAGGCCGGUAACUAACCUACAAAGGGAUGAGAUGGAAAGGUAUGGUUGCACAGGACUUGGUUUAUUACUUACUAUGUGUUUUAAGAAUCAAGUUAGAUGAGCAAGAUCAGAGGGAUAGGUAAGUCAACUCCAUUCUUAUUGUAUACCAACCUAUACUCUGGUAUGGAAUUGUCACCCACAACCACAAGACUCGUAAGAAAUACAUUCUCUAAUAAGUUAUUCCGGAGUCCUAAAGCCGACCUUCUCUUAUCUCUUAGCCUACCUCCCCUUUCCUCACUU
rnacentral:lncRNA from 1 species